rnacentral:rRNA from 1 species
AUUGAACGCUGGCGGAAUGCCUUACACAUGCAAGUCGAACGGACCCUUCGGGGUUAGUGGCGGACGGGUGAGUAACACGUGGGAACGUGCCUUUAGGUUCGGAAUAGCUCCUGGAAACGGGCGGUAAUGCCGAAUGUGCCCUUCGGGGGAAAGAUUUAUCGCCUUUAGAGCGGCCCGCGUCUGAUUAGCUAGUUGGUGAAGUAAUGGCUCACCAAGGCGACGAUCAGUAGCUGGUCUGAGAGGAUGACAGCCACACUGGGACUGAGACACGGCCCAGACUCCUACGGGAGGCAGCAGUGGGGAAUCUUGCGCAAUGGGCGAAAGCCUGACGCAGCCAUGCCGCGUGAAUGAUGAAGGUCUUAGGAUUGUAAAAUUCUUUCACCGGGGACGAUAAUGACGGUACCCGGAGAAGAAGCCCCGGCUAACUUCGUGCCAGCCGCCGCAGUAA